CAGCAGCCGCGGUAAUACAGAGGGUGCGAGCGUUAAUCGGAUUUACUGGGCGUAAAGCGUGCGUAGGCGGCUUUUUAAGUCGGAUGUGAAAUCCCUAAGCUUAACUUAGGAAUUGCAUUCGAUACUGGGAAGCUAGAGUAUGGGAGAGGAUGGUAGAAUUCCAGGUGUAGCGGUGAAAUGCGUAGAGAUCUGGAGGAAUACCGAUGGCGAAGGCAGCCAUCUGGCCUAAUACUGACGCUGAGGUACGAAAGCAUGGGGAGCAAACAGGAUUAGAUACCCCCGUAGUCCCUGUCUCUUAUAC
rnacentral:rRNA from 1 species